UGAUAGGAGAAUCUAGGAUAAAGGGUGAAACUAUAAAUUCAUAUAAUGUCUUAAAUUUCCACAGUUUUCAUCACUCCUAAGUCUUGUCAUAACUUUCUUCUGUAACCUCCUUACCCACUCCUUGCUCACAUGAAAAAGCUUUCCUAUCUCUUCAAGUGAUUUGGGUGGUUGAUCUUUGAGACCAUAUCUAAGAACCAACACUUGCCUCUCUUGAUUCCAGGACUCUUAAAAGAUCAUGCAAGUCCUUUAUCAUGUGUUGCCUCAUGACA
rnacentral:misc_RNA from 1 species